GGGGUCGUUACGGAUUCGACAGGCAUUAUGAGGCAUAUUUUGCGACUCGUGUGGCGACGUAAACGCUCAGUUAAAUAUAACUGCAAAAAAUAACACUUCUUACGCUCUAGCUGCUUAAAAACCAGCAGGCGUGACCCGAUUUGGAUUGCUCGUGUUCAAUGACAGGUCUUAUUAUUAGCGAGAUACGAUUAAGUCUUAUCUAGCGGCUUGAUAAGAGAUUGAUAGACUCGCAGUUUCUAGACUUGAGUUAUGUGUCGAGGGGCUGUUAAAAUAAUACAUAACCUAUGGUUGUAGACAAAUAUGUUGGCAGGUGUUUGGACGUGGGUUCGACUCCCACCGGCUCCA
rnacentral:tmRNA from 1 species